CAGUAGAUCUGCUUGAUGUGCCGAAGUUUCCGAGAUCAGCUCCUUCUGCAUCAGCGAAAGGUUUUGGUUCCAACGUUCCAGGUGUCAGCGUACAGAAGCCUACAACUGGGAACUCAGAACACCAGCAUAAAGAUCAGACUCGGAAGUAGUAAAGAAAUUAACUGAAAAAUGCAGCACAGAAGGCAGCAAACAUGGGGCUCAUUCCUAAGGCAUUCCUUCUUUUAUAUCUGAUGGAAAUGACUGGACAGAGGGGCUGAUUCAGAGGUGGACAUUAGUGCACAGCUGAUGCAUCUUUGUAAGCAGCAUCUGUGCAAAAUGAUGCAAAA